rnacentral:rRNA from 1 species
AUUGAACGCUGGCGGCAGGCCUAACACAUGCAAGUCGAACGAGUGGCGGACGGGUUAGUAAUGUCUGGGAAACUGCCCGAUGGCGGGGGAUAACUACUGGAAACGGUCGGUAAUACCGCCUACCAUCGGAUGUGCCCAGAUGGGAGUAGCUAGUAGGUGGGGUAACGGCUCACCUAGGCGACGACCCCUAGCUGGUCUGAGGGGAUGACCAGCAACACGUGAACUGAGACACUGUCCAUGCUCUGACGGGAGGCAGCAGUGGGGAAUAUUGCACAAGGGGCGCAAGCCUGAUGCAGCCAUGCCGCGUGUAUGAAGAGGGCCUUCGGGUUGUAAAGUACUUUCAGCGAGGAGGCGUUACUCGCAGAAGAAGCACCGGCUAACUCCGUGCCAGCAGCCGCGGUAAUAC